rnacentral:rRNA from 1 species
AUUGAACGCUGGCGGCAUGCCUUACACAUGCAAGUCGAACGGCAGCGGGGGAGAAGCUUGCUUUUCCUGCCGGCGAGUGGCGAACGGGUGAGUAAUACAUCGGAACGUGCCCUGUAGUGGGGGAUAACUAGUCGAAAGAUUAGCUAAUACCGCAUACGACCUGAGGGUGAAAGUGGGGGACCGCAAGGCCUCAUGCUAUAGGAGCGGCCGAUGUCUGAUUAGCUAGUUGGUGGGGUAAAGGCCUACCAAGGCGACGAUCAGUAGCUGGUCUGAGAGGACGAUCAGCCAAACUGGGACUGAGACACGGCCCAGACUCCUACGGGAGGCAGCAGUGGGGAAUUUUGGACAAUGGCGAAAGCCUGAUCCAGCAAUGCCGCGUGUGUGAAGAAGGCCUUCGGGUUGUAAAGCACUUUUGUCCGGAAAGAAAUGGCUCUGGUUAAUACCUGGGGUCGAUGACGGUACCGGAAGAAUAAGGACCGGCUAACUACGUGCCAGCCGCCGCCGUAA